UGCCUUAUAGUCUAGUGGUCAAGAUUCUGGUUUCUAAACUAGAGACCUGGGUUCAUCCCCAGUGCGAUUU